UACAGAGACUGCAAGCGUUAUUCGGAUUCACUGGGCGUAAAGGGUGCGCAGGCGGCCAAGUGGGUGAGGCGUGAAAGCCCGGGGCUUAACCCCGGAAUUGCACCUCAAACUACAUGGCUAGAGCAUUGGAGAGGGUAGCGGAAUUCACGGUGUAGCAGUGAAAUGCGUAGAUAUCGUGAGGAACACCAGAGGCGAAGGCGGCUACCUGGACAAUUGCUGACGCUCAGGCACGAAAGCGUGGGGAGCAAAAGGG
rnacentral:rRNA from 1 species